AGAGUUUGAUCCUGGCUCAGGACGAACGCUGGCGGCGUGCCUAAUACAUGCAAGUCGAACGAGAAAGCGGGGCAACUCGUGAGUAAAGUGGCAGACGGGUGAGUAAUACGUAGGUAAUCUUCCCUCAAAUUGGGGAUAACCUUCCGAAAGGAGGGCUAAUACCGAAUAAGACCACAGUGACACAAGUCACAGGGGUUAAAGUUGGCCUCUAUUUAUAAGCUAACGAUUGAGGAUGAGCUUACGCACCAUCAGCUAGUUGGUAGGGUAACGGCCUACCAAGGCUCUGACGGUUAGCUGAUCUGAGAGGUUGAUCAGCCACACUGGAACUGAGACACGGUCCAGACUCCUACGGGAGGCAGCAGUAGGGAAUAUUGCGCAAUGGAGGAAACUCUGACGCAGCGACGCCGCGUGGGUGACGAAGGUCUUCGGAUCGUAAAGCCCUGUCGGAAGGGACGAAAGACGUGAUGGCUAAUAUCCAUCACGAGUGACGGUACCUUUAAAGGAAGCACCGGCUAACUACGUGCCAGCAGCCGCGGUAAUACGUAGGGUGCAAGCGUUGUUCGGAAUCAUUGGGCGUAAAGCGCGUGUAGGCGGCUAUUUAAGUCGGGUGUGAAACCCCUCGGCUCAACCGAGGAAGUGCAUUCGAAACUGGAUAGCUUGAAGAUGGUAGGGGAAGGUGGAAUUCCAAGUGUAGAGGUGAAAUUCGUAGAUAUUCGGAGGAAUACCGGUGGCGAAGGCGGCCUUCUGGGCCACUCUUGACGCUGAGACGCGAAAGCGUGGGUAGCAAACAGGAUUAGAUACCCUGGUAGUCCACGCCGUAAACGAUGGGUACUAGGUGUUGUGGGAAUUGACCCCCGCAGUGCCGACGCUAACGCAUUAAGUACCCCGCCUGGGAAGUACGGCCGCAAGGUUAAAACUCAAAGGAAUUGACGG
rnacentral:rRNA from 1 species